rnacentral:rRNA from 1 species
UACGUAGGGUGCAAGCGUUGUCCGGAAUUAUUGGGCGUAAAGAGCUCGUAGGCGGCUUGUCACGUCGACUGUGAAAACCCGGGGCUCAACUCCGGGCCUGCAGUCGAUACGGGCUGGCUUGAGUGCGGUAGGGGAGACUGGAAUUCCUGGUGUAGCAGUGAAAUGCGUAGAUAUCAGGAGGAACACCGAUGGCGAAGGCAGGUCUCUGGGCUGACACUGACGCUCAUGCACGAAAGCGUGGGGAGCAAACAGG